UGUGCCUCAGUUUCCAUCCCUGGAUAUAAGGUGGGGGACAGAGCUGCGUGCCACAAGGCUGAGCCUCUCAGAGGUCACCGCUGCAUUCCUCCUUCACUUGCCAGGCACUGUGUGUGAUUCAGACAGAAGACCCCAAGCAGCCAGAAAUUACCCAGAUGGAGAAACAGAGGCCCGUAGAGGCCGACGGUGUGCCCCGGAGCUCACAGCCUGCAGAGGACACAGCUGUCGUGUGAGACGGGCAGAGGCUGGAGAGGUGCGGCGGUGAGGGGAGCGGGGCCCCCACCGACCCCGCGGCCCCGCGGCCCGGGCCUGGCGCAGCAUGAAGCUGGACGAGCGCAGCCUGGCCCGCUACGCCACCUG